rfam:Caldimicrobium thiodismutans DNA, complete genome.
AGCCAAGCUACUAAGGGCUGAUGGUGGAUGCCUCGGGUGCGGGAGGCGAUGAAGGGCGUGGUAAGCUGCGAUAAGCUCCGGGGAGCCGCACACAGGCAUUGAUCCGGAGAUGCCCGAAUGGGGAAACCCGGCAGGGGUAAGCCCUGUCAUCUACAGGUUAAGAGCCUGUAGAAGCGACACCGGGGGAAGUGAAACAUCUCAGUACCCCGAGGAAAAGAAAUCAACCGAGAUUCUCCGAGUAGCGGCGAGCGAAAGGGGAGAAGCCUAAACCAGGCAGGUGUUAAAGCUCGUGGGCGUUGCCUGUCUGGGGUCGUGGGACUACACUGGAGGGGGCCACGAACCCUUCGGGGAGUUACAAAACUCUCUCUUUAGCCGAAGGCGCCUGGGAAGGCCUGCCAGAGAGGGUGAAAGCCCCGUAGGCAAAAAGGAGAGAGUCUCCCUGGGUGUAGAUCCCGAGUAGCACGGGACACGAGGAAUCCCGUGUGAAUCAGGGGGGACCACCCUCCAAGGCUAAAUACUACCCGCACACCGAUAGUGCACUAGUACCGUGAGGGAAAGGUGAAAAGAACCCCGGGAGGGGAGUGAAAUAGAACCUGAAACCAUCAGCCUACAAGCGGUCGGAGGGGAGUGGCAACACUCCCUGACGGCGUGCCUUUUGCAUAAUGAGCCCGGGAGUUGCCGUCAGUGGCGAGGUUAAGCCGUUGAGGCGUAGCCGUAGCGAAAGCGAGUCCGAAAAGGGCGUUUAGUCGCUGGUGGCAGACCCGAAUCGGGACGAUCUACCCAUGGCCAGGGUGAAGGUGGGUUAACCCCCACUGGAGGCCCGAACCGAUGGAGGGUGAAAACUCCUCGGAUGAGCUGUGGGUCGGAGUGAAAAGCUAAUCGAGUCCCGUGAUAGCUGGUUCUCCCCGAAAUGCAUUGAGGUGCAGCCUCGAGUGGUCGCUGCCGGGGGUAGAGCACUGUUUGGGCUAGGGGGCUUACCGGCCUACCAAACCCAGGCAAACUCCGAAUACCGGUAAGCGCAGCUCGGGAGUGAGUCUCAGGGCGAUAACGUCCUGGGACGAGAGGGCAAGAACCCAGACCGCCAGCUAAGGCCCCUAAGUCCUGGCUAAGUGGUAAAGGAGGUGCUCCUGCUUAGACACCCAGGAUGUUGGCUUAGAAGCAGCCAUCAUUUAAAGAGUGCGUAACAGCUCACUGGGCGAGCGGGGGUGCGCCGAAAAUUACUCGGGGCUUAAGCCAGGCGCCGAAGCUGCGGACUUGAAGCGUUUAGGCUUCAAGUGGUAGGGGAGCACUCCGGUUGCCGAUGAAGGUAAGCUGACAAGGCUUGCUGGAGGUUCCGGAGGAGAGAAUCCGGGCACGAGUACGCGAUAAGGAGAGUGAGAAUCUCUCCCGCCGUAAGCCCAAGGUUUCCUGGGGAAGGGUCGUCCGCCCAGGGUUAGCCGGCCCCUAACCCGAGGCCGAGAGGCGUAGGGGAUGGGAAGUGGGGUUAAUAUUCCCCCGCCACCUGGAUGGAGGUCAAGGGGUGACGCAGGAGGGAAGGGUUCCGGGGCUGUAUGGUUGGCCCUCCAAACCUUUAGCCCGUUGAUGGGUAGAGGAAAAUCCCUACCCGGAGGGUGAGGGGGAGUAAGCAACUGAGAGCUUUGCUCUCGGGAAGGAGCUCGGACCACACUGCCAAGAAAUAGCCUCGUGGCUGUUGAAGUCCAGGUGACCGUACCGCAAACCGACACAGGUGGGCGGGCAGAAAUCUGCCAAGGCGCGUGGGGUAACCCUGGCUAAGGAACUCGGCAAAUUAACCCCGUAACUUCGGGAGAAGGGGUGCCCGCGUGUAAGUGUAGGUCCUCGCGACUGAAGCUGAGGCGGGUCGCAGGUAAUCGGCGGUGGCGACUGUUUACCAAAAACACAGGGCUCUGCUAACUCGUAAGAGGACGUAUAGGGCCUGACGCCUGCCCGGUGCUGGAAGGUGAAGGGGUGGGGUUAGCAAGUUUUCUUGCGACGCUCUGCCCUUAAGCCCCAGUAAACGGCGGCCGUAACUAUAACGGUCCUAAGGUAGCGAAAUUCCUUGUCGGGUAAGUGAGGACUUGCCCAUGUCCGGCUCAUAUCGGGGGAGCCCUCCUACCUGAGGUUUAUAUGCUUCAGGUGUGGGGUAAUCCCGAGGGAAGCUUGUCUCUCGUGAGGGAGGCAAAGCCCCGUAACGACUGACCCGAAAGGGGAGGCACGCCUCUAUUAUUUAAAAUUUUGAGGUGUGCAAAACGCCGGCCACCACCCGUAACUCCAAACUGGGGUUACGCAGAAAGGCCUAUGGAGGCCCUCUUAUGUUAAAUCCUUGGUAUGUAACAGGACUUUGUGAGGGAGAAGCCUCUUUUAGUGUAAGUUUUAAUUUAAGAAAUAAGUUAAAUGUUGGUAUAGAGACCAAGCCUUCCUUUUCCAUAACCUUAAAUCGAAGAGAUUUAGAGCUUAUAAAAGAAAUUUAUAAGUUUUUUGGUUGUGGAGGGAUAAGGUAUUCAAGGCCUGAUAGAUGUUAUAAAUAUGAGGUUAGGUCUGUUAAUGACCUUGUAGAAAAAAUUAUUCCGCAUUUUGAGGAGUAUCCUUUACAAGGAGCUAAAAAAAGGGAUUUUGAGCUAUUUAAAAAAAUAUGUCUUAUGGUAAGAGCGAAUUUACAUCUUUCUUUUAAGUAUUUACCUGAAAUUAUUGAUUUUGCUUAUCAAAUGAAUGAGAGUGGUAGAAGAAGGUAUACUAAGGAGGAUCUCCUAAGGGUUCUUGGUGGUGUGAAGGGAUAGUCUACCCCUUGCCGAAAGGCUUGAGAGGGUGAAGUUCCGACCUGCAUGAAUGGCGUAACGACUGCCGCGCUGUCUCAGCCAGGGGCCCAGCGAAACUGUAGUCUCGGCGAAGAUGCCGAGUACCCGCGGUGGGACGGAAAGACCCCGUGCAGCUUUACUGCAGCUUGGCAUUGAAUCUUGGGGUAGGAUGUGCAGGAUAGGUGGGAGGCUAUGAAGCGGGGGCGCCAGCUCCCGUGGAGCCACCGGUGAGAUACCACCCUUCCUGCCUCAGGGUUCUAACCUGCGGGAGUAAGCCUCCCGAGGGACAGUGCCUGGUGGGCAGUUUGACUGGGGCGGUCGCCUCCUAAAGGGUAACGGAGGCGCCCAAAGGUCCCCUCAGGUGGUAUGGAAAUCCACCGUUGAGUGUAAGGGCAUAAGGGGGCUUGACUGCGAGGCUGACAAGCCGAGCAGGGGGGAAACCCGGGCCUAGUGACCCGGUGGUCCUGUGUGGAAGGGCCAUCGAUCAUCGGAUAAAAGUUACGCCGGGGAUAACAGGCUGAUUGCUCCCAAGAGUUCAUAUCGACGGAGCAGUUUGGCACCUCGAUGUCGGCUCAUCCCAUCCUGGGGCUGAAGAAGGUCCCAAGGGUCGGGCUGUUCGCCCGUUAAAGGGGUACGUGAGCUGGGUUCAGAACGUCGUGAGACAGUUCGGUCCCUAUCCACCGCGGGCGCAGGAGGCUUGAGGGGAGCCGCCCCUAGUACGAGAGGACCGGGGUGGACGCACCUCUGGUGGCCCGGUUGUUCCACCAGGAGCAGAGCCGGGUAGUCAUGUGCGGAAGGGAUAACCGCUGAAAGCAUCUAAGCGGGAAGCCCACCCCAAGAUAAGGCCUCCCGAGGGUGGGGCAACUCACCCCCUAAAGGGCCCAGGGAGAACACCUGGUUGAUAGGCCGGAGGUGGAAGCCCAGUAAUGGGUGGAGCUUACCGGUACUAAUCGCCCGUGCGGCUUGGCUGC